AGGGCAUUUGGUGAAUGCCUUGGCAAUCAGAGGCGAAGAAGGACGUGGUACACUGCGAAAAGUUACGGGGAGUUGUGAACAAGCAUUGAUCCGUAAAUAUCCGAAUGGGGAAACCCACAGAGCAAUCUGUACUGCAUGAUGAAUAAAUAGUUAUGCAGGGCGAACGCAGGGAACUGAAACAUCUAAGUACCUGUAGGAAAGGAAAUCAACCGAGACUCCGAAAGUAGUGGCGAAAUCGGACCAGCCGAUGGAUAGUCAGUAAAGAAUCAGAAUUACCUGGAAAGGUAAGCCGGAGAGGGUGACAGCCCCGUACGAGUAGAAAAGCUGACUGUUCUUGAGUAAGGCGGAGCACGAGAAAUUCUGUCUGAAAAUGGGGAGACCACUCUCCAAGGCUAAGUACUACUGAUUGACCGAUAGUGAACAAGUACCGUGAGGGAAAGGUGAAAAGCACCCCUAUAAGGGGAGUGAAAGAGAACCUGAAACCGGAUGCCUACAAGCAGUCGGAGGGUCUAUAAGGCCUGACGGCGUACCUUUUGUAUAAUGGGUCAGCGACUUAAUUUAUGUAGCAAGCUUAAGCCGAUAGGUGUAGGCGUAGAGAAAUCGAGUGUUAACAGCGCGUUAAGUUACAUGAAUUAGACCCGAAACCGAGUGAUCUAGCCAUGAUCAGGUUGAAGGUUGGGUAACACCAACUGGAGGACCGAACCCACUCCCGUUGAAAAGGUAGGGGAUGAAUUGUGGCUAGGGGUGAAAGGCCAAUCAAACUCGGAAAUAGCUGGUUCUCCGCGAAAACUAUUUAGGUAGUGCGGUGAGCGGACACCUUGAGGGGUAGAGCACUGGAAGAGCUAAGGGGGAGCGAUCCUUACUAAACUUUACCAAACUCCGAAUACUCAAGAGUGAUACUCACCAGACAGACAUUAGGUGCUAAGGUCUAGUGUCGAGAGGGAAAGAGCCCAGACCGCCAAUUAAGGUCCCAAAAUUAUGGCUAAGUGGUAAAGGAAGUGAAACGUCCAAAACAGUCAGGAGGUUGGCUUAGAAGCAGCCAUCCUUUAAAGAAAGCGUAAUAGCUCACUGAUCUAAACAAGACGUCUUGCGCCGAAGAUGUAACGGGGCUAAAGCCAUAUACCGAAGUUGCGGAUUUACACGUUAAAGUGUAAGUGGUAGCGGAGCGUUCUGUAAGCCUGCGAAGGUGUACCGUAAGGUAUGCUGGAGGUAUCAGAAGUGAGAAUGCUGACAUGAGUAGCGAAAAGAAGAGUGAGAGACUCUUCCGCUGAAAGUCCAAGGUUUCCUGCGUAAAGCUAAUCUGCGCAGGGUUAGUCGGUCCCUAAGGCGAGGCAGAGAUGCGUAGUCGAUGGCAAUCAGGUUAAUAUUCCUGAACCGGCCCGGAAGUGACGGAUUGAGUAAAUUGUAAGUUCUUAUUGGAUUGAGCUUGCAGUGAAUCAGUCCCAGGAAAUAGCCCGGGCUAAGACCGUACCCGAAACCGACACAGGUGGACAGGUAGAGAAUACCAAAGCGCUUGAGAGAACUAUGUUGAAGGAACUAGGCAAAAUACUUGCGUAACUUCGGGAUAAGCAAGCCCCAUUUUAAGGCAACUUAGGGUGGGGGGCACAUACUAGGGGGUAGCGACUGUUUACUAAAAACACAGGGCUCUGCUAAAUUGAAAGAUGAAGUAUAGGGUCUGACGCCUGCCCGGUGCUGGAAGGUUAAGGAGAGAUGUGCAAGCAUUGAACUGAAGCCCCAGUAAACGGCGGCCGUAACUAUAACGGUCCUAAGGUAGCGAAAUUCCUUGUCGGGUAAGUUCCGACCUGCACGAAUGGCGUAACGACUUCCCCGCUGUCUCCAACAUAGGCUCAGCGAAAUUGAACUCUGAGUUAAGAUGCUCAGUACCCGCGGUUAGACGGAAAGACCCCGUGAACCUUUACUAUAGCUUGACACUGAACAUUGAGCCUUGAUGUGUAGGAUAGGUGGGAGGCUUUGAAGUGUGGACGCCAGUCUGCAUGGAGCCGACCUUGAAAUACCACCCUUUAAUGUUUGAUGUUCUAACGUGGGCCCCUUACCGGGGUUGCGGACAGUGUCUGGUGGGUAGUUUGACUGGGGCGGUCUCCUCCUAAAGAGUAACGGAGGAGCACGAAGGUUGGCUAAUCCUGGUCGGACAUCAGGAGGUUAGUGCAAUGGCAUAAGCCAGCUUGACUGCGAGCGUGACGGCGCGAGCAGGUGCGAAAGCAGGUCAUAGUGAUCCGGUGGUUCUGAAUGGAAGGGCCAUCGCUCAACGGAUAAAAGGUACUCCGGGGAUAACAGGCUGAUACCGCCCAAGAGUUCAUAUCGACGGCGGUGUUUGGCA
rnacentral:rRNA from 1 species